CCAUGCAUGUCUAAGUAUAAGCAAUUAUACCGUGAAACUGCGAAUGGCUCAUUAAAUCAGUUAUCGUUUAUUUGAUAGUACCUUACUACUUGGAUACCCGUGGUAAUUCUAGAGCUAAUACAUGCAAAAAACCCCGACUUCGGGAGGGGUGUAUUUAUUAGAUAAAAAACCAAUGCCCUUCGGGGCUCCUUGGUGAUUCAUAAUAACUUAACGGAUCGCAUGGCCUUGCGCCGGCGACGGUUCAUUCAAAUUUCUGCCCUAUCAACUUUCGAUGGUAAGGUAUUGGCUUACCAUGGUUUCAACGGGUAACGGAUUUUUAGGGAAAGAUCCCGGAGAGGGAGCCUGAGAAACGGCUACCACAUCCAAGGAAGGCAGCAGGCGCGCAAAUUACCCAAUCCCGACACGGGGAGGUAGUGACAAUAAAUACUGAUACAGGGCUCUUUUGGGUCUUGUAAUCGGAAUGAGUACAAUUUAAAUACCUUAACGAGGAACAAUUGGAGGGCAAGUCUGGUGCCAGCAGCCGCGGUAAUUCCAGCUCCAAUAGCGUAUAUUAAAGUUGUUGCAGUUAAAAAGCUCGUAGUUGAACCUUGGGCCUGGCUGGCCGGUCCGCCUCACCGCGUGUACUGGUCCGGCCGGGCCUUUCCUUCUGGAGAACCGCAUGCCCUUCACUGGGUGUGUCGGGGAACCAGGACUUUUACUUUGAGAAAAUUAGAGUGUUCAAAGCAGGCCUUUGCUCGAAUACGUUAGCAUGGAAUAAUAGAAUAGGACGUGCGGUCCUAUUUUGUUGGUUUCUAGAACCGCCGUAAUGAUUAAUAGGGAUAGUCGGGGGCGUCAGUAUUCAAUUGUCAGAGGUGAAAUUCUUGGAUCUAUUGAAGACUAACUACUGCGAAAGCAUUCGCCAAGGAUGUUUUCAUUAAUCAGUGAACGAAAGUUAGGGGAUCGAAGACGAUCAGAUACCGUCGUAGUCUUAACCGUAAACUAUGCCGACUAGGGAUCGGGCGAUGUUUCUAUAUUGACUCGCUCGGCACCUUACGAGAAAUCAUAAGUUUUUGGGUUCUGGGGGGAGUAUGGUCGCAAGGCUGAAACUUAAAGAAAU
rnacentral:rRNA from 1 species